CUGUCCAACAUGCGGCCCCCCCAGAUGUUGCUGAACUACAACUCCCAUGAUUCCCUGGCUAUCUGUUUAAUUGAAAUAAUCAUGGGAGUUGUAGUUAAGCAACAUCCGGGGGCCGCAGGUUCGACAG